GCCGCGGUAGUAUAGCCCGGCCAAGUAUGCGGGCCUCUCGAGCCCGUGACCCGGGUUCAAAUCCCGGCCGCGGCACCA
rnacentral:tRNA from 12 species